rfam:Stegodyphus mimosarum contig93379, whole genome shotgun sequence.
GCCUUCGUGGUGUAGUGGUUAGCAUGCUCGACGCGUAACCGAGAGGUCCGUGGUUCGAUUCUCGGCAAAGGCG